UUGCUUUCCUUGAUGACGACUGGCGCACGGGUGAGUAACGCGUAUCCAACCUUCCCAUAACUACGGGAUAACCCGUUGAAAGACGGCCUAAUACCGUAUGACAUCGUUUGCUGACAUCAAAAUAACGAUUAAAAGGGGUUUAGCGGUUAUGGAUGGGGAUGCGUCUGAUUAGCUUGUUGGCGGGGUAACGGCCCACCAAGGCGACGAUCAGUAGGGGUUCUGAGAGGAAGGUCCCCCACAUUGGAACUGAGACACGGUCCAAACUCCUACGGGAGGCAGCAGUGGGGAAUAUUGGUCAAUGGGGCGAGAGCCUGAACCAGCCAAGUAGCGUGCAGGAUGACGGCCCUAUGGGUUGUAAACUGCUUUUAUGUGGGGAUAAAGUGCGUGACGUGUCAUGCAUUGCAGGUACCACAUGAAUAAGGACCGGCUAAUUCCGUGCCAGCAGCCGCGGUAAU
rnacentral:rRNA from 1 species